AUGAUAGGUCUAUUCUGGAAUUGUAGGGGGGCAGGAAAGAAAGGAAUGAGUUCCCGUCUCUCUCAUAUUAUUAAAGAUCAUUCCCUUGAUUUCGUUGGUUUACAAGAGACCCAUAAGAACAGUUUCAUGGACAAUUUCUUUAGGAAAAUUGAUCCAUACAAGGCAUAUGAAUGGAAUUUUGUCCCAUCUGUAGGCAGAUCUGGGGGAAUCCUUUGUGGUGUGAAGAAAGAAAGAUUUGAGAAAGUUCGAUGGAAGAAAGGCAAAUUUAUUCUGCAAGUUUCCUUUUAUGAUAGCAAAAUAAAAAAGAAUUGGACGUUAUGCACUGUUUAUGGUGUUGCCCAUGAUAAGGAUAAAGAAGAUUUUCCGAUUGAACUCUCUGACUUCUGCAGUCAUGUAUCCACCCCACUUUUGAUAGGAGGGGAUUUUAACAUACUUAGACAUGCAUGA
rnacentral:rRNA from 1 species